ACUCGCAGUUUGCCCGUGCAAGGAGGAGAAGCGGAAGCAAGAUUUUAUUUUCCGCCAAUUUCAAUAUGGAUAUUCGCAAAUGGAUUAAAAAGACUAAAGCGCUUAUCUUAAAAGUUUUACUGACAGUGAAACGCCGAAAUUAACCGAAUUUUUUGGCCGCUGCGCCAGCGAAAUUUAAGGGAAUUGCAGCUGCUGACACCGAGCCCUCUGGAGACGCUUCAGAAGAAAGCUUCAUAUCUGCUGCUCCACCUGCUCACCUGCCGAUGUACCAGACCGUUGUUGAAGUUAUUCUACACCAUCCCUGUAUUCACUGUCAGUGCUGAGGUGUUUCUCGUCCCUCCGUUGUAUAAAGACGCACCUGAGAUCAACAAUCUCCGUCUACCCACACAGAUUUUUUGACCACAGUGGAUGCUUUGGACAUAACCAGGGACUUCAUCCAUCAUAAUGUCGGACAGAGACACCUCUUCGGCAAUAUUUAGAUCGGCGUUUUUCUGAACAGUUCUGAGUUGUUACCUGCAAGUUGGACGGGUCAGUGAUAGUGAAUGUGGUCUUCGGAAAAAGAGUCCCAUCCACCAGUUUCACUGCCAGAGCCACAGAUGGAGAGAGAAUACUUUGACUCUGUCCCUGGACAACCAGCUUCAAGCCAACAGUAUCCACAAUGCCAGUGAUCCUUAUCAAAUAAGAAAAGAUGUAACGGGACACCGGUCUUCCAAACAGUUCACCAGAACAUUCUCCCAAAAGGUGUGAGGAUCAUCAAGGUGUGUAUUGGCAAAAUUCAGACGAGCCUUAUUGUUCUUCUGGGUUAGCAGUGAUUUUCAGCUUGCCACUCUUCCAUGGAUGGCAUUUUUGCCCAGUGUCUUUCUGAUAGUGGAGUCAUGAACAGUGACCUUUACUGAUCCAAGAGAGGUCUGUAGUUCCUUUGAUGUUGUCCUUGGCUCUUUUGUGACUUCCAGGAUGAGUAGUUGCUGUGCUCUUGGAGGAAUUUUGGAAGGUUGGCCACUUCUGAGAAGGUUCACUACUGUGCCAAGUUUUUCCAUUUGGAGAUAUUGGCUCUCAUUAUGGUUCUUUGGAGUCCCAGAGCCUUUGAAAAAGCUUUGUAACCCUCCCCAGACUGAUGUAUCUCCUUCUUUCUCAUAAUUUCUGGAAUUUCUUUCAAUUUUGGCAUAGCCUACUACUGGGUAAGGCCUUUUAACCAAUUUGAUGCUGUUGAAAAAGUUCUAUUUAAGUGUUGAUUUGAUUGAACAGGGUUUGCAGUAAUCUGGCCUGGUUGCGUGUAGUCCAGCUGAACCCCAUUAUGAAUAUCAUAGAUUUGGGGAAUUAAUAACUACAGGGGUAAAUAAAUUUUCACACAGGCCCAGUUGGUACUGGACAACUUUUUUGCUUCAAUAAAUAACAUUAUCGUUUAAAAAGUGUAUUUUGUGUUUACUCAGUUGCCUUUGUUAUAUCUCAAAUUUAGUUUUAAUUUCUGAAACAAUUUAGUAUGAGAUAUACACAAAAACAGAAGAAAUCAGGAUGGGGCAAAUACUUUCUCACAGUACCAUAUAUAAUUGAUAAUUAUAAUUAUUCUUGGAGAAUAAUUAUAGUUAUUCAAUUCUAUUCAAGGGCUACAAGUAAAUCUGUAAAUCUGUUCAUUUUUACCUGUUUG